GGUAAUGUGGCCGAGUGGUCUAAGGCACUGGAUUUAGGCUCUAGUCUCGAAAGAGGCAUGGGUUUUAAUCCCACCACUACCA
rnacentral:tRNA from 1 species